ACCAUUUUUCAGGUAUUGUGGGCAGUGAGGGUUGAGACGAGACGUGAGAUACGUUCGUAGCGGUCGAUAGAGCUUCCGACCCAGGUUAUUCGGUUUAGUUUCCACCCUUACUAUUCUGUUGAUAUAGCUUAGAUAGUUUAUAUAGUUCAGUACUUUUAUUACAUUUGAAAAUGUGGGUUUUCAUGAAUGUAAUAAAAGGAUUUGUGAAUUUUGUGAAAUGGAAAAUGGUUUU
rnacentral:lncRNA from 1 species